GGUCAUGAUGCUCGUAUAAGAGCUAAAGACCUUCAUACCUCUUUAACCUGGUCCAUGGAUUGAAAAACAGUACCAUGUUCUCAGAAUGCACAUGUGCUCUUUCCCCUGAUUACAUGAUUUUAAUGCACAUCACAGGAUAUGCGUUGAUAAACUGAGGAAUCACCCUAAUGUUUUCAUGCAUUUUAACUCUAAAUCAAGACACUAAGAAUUGGUUGAACUGCAUGGAGUUUUCUUCUGGGCUCAUCAAGGCAAGAAAAAUGGGGGUUAGUUAAUUUUAUUAAUUAGGGUAAGCAGUGGCCAAACUAAUCCAGUCAUUUGAGUGAAUUUUUUUUCAUGGCAUGAGAUAAUUAAAUGCUGAAGUUUUUAAAGGCAGAUUGAAGUGAUAAUGAUAAUGAUGCUGUGAUGACUUAAGCAGCAAAAGUUUGGGUGCAAUGGACAACAUGCUAGAUUUGUUUGAACUUCUUCUAAGGAAGCUACUUCAUAAAGGCAAAAAUAAAAAUUAUUGGGUAAUCUGUUCUAAAAUUUUUGGUGACACGAUCUGUCUGUGACUAUUAAGUAAAGGAAAAUCGCUGUUGAGAAUGACAAGUAGAUACCAUUCUUUUUUCAAUUAAUGUAAAACUAGGAGAAGAACCCAGCAAUGAGAAAAGAUAGAGUAAAAUAUAAUGCAUGUAACAUGACUUUUCUGACACAUGGACGGUCUCAUUUUGAAUGAUAGGUGUUUUAAUCCUAGUGCUCAAUUAGACUCAGUUCAAGCCCAGUUGCUAAAUAGUUUCAAUGUUCUUUAUUGUUCUCCUUGGACGUUAAUUUUACUACACCUUGUAUCUUGAAAUAUGUUGAAUAUUAUUGUACAUGUGACAUUCACAUGAAUUUUGCCAGCAUUAUUGGAGACAUUGUGGUGGAGAGGUUAGGGCGCUGGACUUGUACUCUUGCGGUCCUGGGUUCAACUCUUUACUCUGUUGUUCACUGGAUUUGUUUUUGGUUGCCCUUAGUUUAACUCCUAGCUUGCGCUUUGUAAAAAGCCAACUGGCUAAUGCCUGUGUCCAAAAUAUCACAAGUUGUGGAUAAGGAUUCUCACUUCAGAUAACCAAGGGCAUCACUGGUAAACAUUGCUAGCUCUGUGGUGACUGGUUUUUUUUUGUUUAAUAUUUCACAAAUUACUGAGGUUCUACAGACAAGUUACAGAGCAUAGUAAAUAAGUACCAUUGGAAUCACUCACUAUUCUGGAAAGUUGAUUGAUUAACACUGUGAGCUUGAAGAACCACAACAGACAGAAUUGCCCUUAUGAUACUUUCACAGAAGAUGAAAAACAGUUGGAUUCCCUUUAGGACAUGUAUAAAUCAGCUCAGGACGUGUUGCAGAAACAGGAAGAGCAAGAAAUGGCCAUUAAGAAAUGUAGGAACAAAGUGGAUGACUGAUGAAAUGACAAUGUUUCAAAGAAUUAUUACAAAGGAUGCUACACCUAAACAAGGCAUAAAGAUGGUUUCUGGGAAAACGUCGUGGUCAAUUUAGCAAUGGCAAAGAAGAAGCUUGAAAAAUGCUAAUACACAAAUUCAUUUGAGCCAUAUUUGAGAAACUUCUUCAUAGACUUCUACAGCUUUUGUUCUCAACUGAGGCCCUUGACCUAGUGUCAGAGUUAAAAAAAAGGUUUUGCUUUAUAAAUAAAUCAUUAUUACUUCA